AAAUUGAAGAGUUUGAUCAUGGCUCAGAUUGAACGCUGGCGGCAGGCCUAACACAUGCAAGUCGAACGGUAACAGGAAGCAGCUUGCUGCUUCGCUGACGAGUGGCGGACGGGUGAGUAAUGUCUGGGAAACUGCCUGAUGGAGGGGGAUAACUACUGGAAACGGUAGCUAAUACCGCAUAACGUCGCAAGACCAAAGAGGGGGACCUUCGGGCCUCUUGCCAUCGGAUGUGCCCAGAUGGGAUUAGCUUGUUGGUGGGGUAACGGCUCACCAAGGCGACGAUCCCUAGCUGGUCUGAGAGGAUGACCAGCCACACUGGAACUGAGACACGGUCCAGACUCCUACGGGAGGCAGCAGUGGGGAAUAUUGCACAAUGGGCGCAAGCCUGAUGCAGCCAUGCCGCGUGUAUGAAGAAGGC
rnacentral:rRNA from 1 species